rnacentral:lncRNA from 1 species
GUAUAAUACAGAGUGUUAAUAAUAAGAAUUUAAAUAACGAUUUAAAUAAAAUAAAAGAAUAAAUAAAUAUUUAUAUUAAUGAAUAAUUAAAUUGAUCAUUGAAUAAAUAGAAUAGAUAAGUUCAGAUGAAUCGAAAAAUGUCUUUUAAGAUUUUUCAGUUGUAAUAAAUAUCAAGUUAACUGUCAUAUUCCUUAAACAGUAAAAUUUCCUUAAAAUUACCAAUUUAGGGGCAGCAACCCAACAAUGGGUUGUCUGAUUCAUCUGAAAAUUUCAGGGCAGAUAGAUCUUGACCAGAUAAACAAUUUUACCCAUUGUCAGAUUUGCUCUAAAUGCUCUAAAUGCUUUGGUUUUUGAGUAAUAACCAAAAACUGCAUUUAACCUCCAUAUUCUAUUUUUAGCCGUGGCGGCCAUCUUGGUUGGUUGGCCGGGUCAAAAAACACAAUUUUCAAACUAGAUACAUCAAUGAUGAUUGUGGCCAAGUAUGGAUUAAUUUGGACCGGUAGUUUCAGAGAAGAAGAUUUUUGUAAAAGAUCAUGGAGAUUUACAAAAAAUGGUUUAAAAUUGACUAUAAAGGGCAAUAACUCCUAAAGGGUUCAACUGACCUUUUUGAUCAUGUUGACUUAUUUGUAAAUCUUACUUUGAUGAACAUUAUUGCUGUUUUCAGUUUAUCUCCAUCUAUAAUAAUUUUCAAGAUAAUAACCAAAAACAGUAAAAUUUCCUUAAAAUUACCAAUGUAGGGGCAGCAACCCAACAAUGGGUUGUCUGAUUCAUCUGAAAAUUUCAGGGCAGAUAGAUCUUGACCUGAUAAACAAUUUUACUCCUUGUCAGAUUUGCUCUAAAUGCUUUGUUUUUUUGAGUUUUAAGCCAAAAACUGCAUUUUACCCCUGUGUUCUCUUUUUUUUGCCAUGCGGGCCAUCUUGGUUGGUUGGCCGGGUAAAAAAACACAAAUUUUAAACAAGAUACAUCAAUGAUAAUUGUGGCCAAGUUUGGUUUAAUUUGGCCCAGUAGUUUUAGAGGAGAAGAUUUUUGUAAAAGUUAACAACGACGGACGACAGACGACGGACGCCAAGUGAUGAGAAAAGCUCACUUGGCCUUUUAGGCCAGGUGAGCUUAAAACAUGUUAUGAAAACAUAUUUUGCCAACAUGAAUCGUGAAGCAAUACAAAUAAUUCUAAAACUUUCUGAUCACUGUGCUCUUAAAAUUACAUUCUGAGUUUAUUUUUUUUU